AGUGAACGCUGGCGGUAGGCCUAACACAUGCAAGUCGAACGGCAGCACAGUAAGAGCUUGCUCUUACGGGUUGCGAGUGGCGGACGUGUGAGGAAUACAUCGGAAUCUACUUUUUCGUGGGGGUUAACGUAGGGAAACUUACUCUAAUACCGCAUACGACCUACGGGUGAAAGCAGGGGAUCGUCUGACCUUGCGCGAUUGAAUGAGCCGAUGUUGGGUUUGUUGGUUGGGGGGGUAAAGGCCCACCAAGGCGACGAUCCGUAGCUGGUCUGGGAGGAUGAUCAGCCACACUGGAACUGAGACACGGUCCAGACUCCUACGGGAGGCAGCAGUGGGGAAUAUUGGACAAUGGGCGCAAGCCUGAUCCAGCCAUAGCGCGUGGGUGAAGAAGGCCUUCGGGUUGUAAAGCCCUUUUGUUGGGAAAGAAAAGCAGCAGGUUAAUACCCCGCUGUUCUGACGGUACCCAAAGAAUAAGCACCGGCUAACUUCGUG
rnacentral:rRNA from 1 species